rnacentral:rRNA from 1 species
GCUUAUACUCGACCGUCAGCGGCACGUGCGAUCGCGCGUUUCGGCGCGCGGUCACGAAGCCCUGACGAGUAGGAGGGUCGCGGCGGUGAGCGCAGAAGGGCUGGCCGCGAGGCCGUCUGGAGCCGCCGUCGGUGCAGAUCUUGGUGGUAGUAGCAAAUACUCCAGCGAGGCCCUGGAGGACUGACGUGGAGAAGGGUUUCGUGUGAACAGCCGUUGCACACGAGUCAGUCGAUCCUAAGCCCUAGGCGAAAGCCGAUGUCGAUGCGGUGUGGAUUUAUCAUCUCUUUUCGGUUAUACGAGAAAAGCGAAACAAAUUGUUAAUUCGUUUUAACGUAUCGCGAGAGUCGUUAGUCGAACACACCCAUCGGGCGAAAGGGAAUCCGGUUCCUAUUCCGGAACCUGGCAGCGGAACCGUCAAAAAGUCGGGC